ensembl:rRNA 5S_rRNA 5S ribosomal RNA
GCUUACGGCCAUACCACCCUGAGCGCGCCCGAUCUCGUCUGAUCUAGGAAGCUAAGCAGGGUCGGGCCUGGUUAGUACUUGGAUGGGAGACCGCCUGGGAAUACCAGGUGCUGUAAGCU